rnacentral:rRNA from 1 species
UAGGGAAUAUUGGACAAUGGGUGCGAGCCUGAUCCAGCCAUGCCGCGUGCAGGAAGAAGGCGUUAUGCGUUGUAAACUGCUUUUGCCAGGGGAUAAAAUAACUGUGCGCAGUUGAUUGAAGGUACCUGGUGAAUAAGCCACGGCUAACUACGUGCCAGCAGCCGCGGUAAUACGUAGGUGGCAAGCGUUGUCCGGAUUUAUUGGGUUUAAAGGGUGCGUAGGCGGCCCUGUAAGUCAGUGGUGAAAUAUCUCAGCUUAACUGAGAGGGUGCCAUUGAUACUGCGGGGCUUGAGUACAGAUGAGGUAGGCGGAAUUGACGGUGUAGCGGUGAAAUGCAUAGAUAUCGUCAAGAACACCGAUAGCGAAGGCAGCUUACCAAGCUGUAAACUGACGCUGAGGCAC